rnacentral:tRNA from 1 species
GCCUGGGUGGCUCAGUGGGUUAAGCGUCCGACUUCAGCUUAGGUCAUGAUCUGGCCGUUUGUGAGUUCAAGCCUCACGUCAGGCU